GACGAACGCUGGCGGCGUGCCUAAUACAUGCAAGUCGAGCGGACGGAUGGGAGCUUGCUCCCAGACCGUCAGCGGCGGACGGGUGAGUAACACGUGGGCAACCUGCCUGUAAGCCUGGGAUAACUCCGGGAAACCGGGGCUAAUACCGGAUAACUCUUUCCCUCCCAUUAGGGAAAGCUGAAACAUGGCAUCUCGCUAUCACUUACAGAUGUGCCCGCGGCGCAUUAGCUAGUUGGUGAGGUAACGGCUCACCAAGGCGACGAUCAGUAGCCGACCUGAGAGGGGGAUCGGCCACACUGGGACUGAGACACGGCCCAGACUCCUACGGGAGGCAGCAGUAGGGAAUCUUCCGCAAUGGACGAAAGUCUGACGGAGCAACGCCGCGUGAGUGAUGAAGGUUUUCGGAUCGUAAAACUCUGUUGUCAGGGAAGAACAAGUACCGGAGUAACUGCCGGUACCUUGACGGUACCUGACCAGAAAGCCACGGCUAACUACGUG
rnacentral:rRNA from 1 species